AGAGUUUGAUCCUGGCUCAGGACGAACGCUGGCGGCGUGCUUAACACAUGCAAGUCGAACGGAAAGGCCCUUCGGGGUACUCGAGUGGCGAACGGGUGAGUAACACGUGGGUGAUCUGCCCUGCACUUUGGGAUAAGCCUGGGAAACUGGGUCUAAUACCGAAUAUAACCAUGCACUUCCUGGUGUGUGGUGGAAAGCUUUUGCGGUGUGGGAUGGGCCCGCGGCCUAUCAGCUUGUUGGUGGGGUAAUGGCCUACCAAGGCGACGACGGGUAGCCGGCCUGAGAGGGUGACCGGCCACACUGGGACUGAGAUACGGCCCAGACUCCUACGGGAGGCAGCAGUGGGGAAUAUUGCACAAUGGGCGCAAGCCUGAUGCAGCGACGCCGCGUGAGGGAUGACGGCCUUCGGGUUGUAAACCUCUUUCAGCACAGACGAAGCGCAAGUGACGGUAUGUGCAGAAGAAGGACCGGCCAACUACGUGCCAGCAGCCGCGGUAAUACGUAGGGUCCGAGCGUUGUCCGGAAUUACUGGGCGUAAAGAGCUCGUAGGUGGUUUGUCGCGUUGUUCGUGAAAACUCACAGCUUAACUGUGGGCGUGCGGGCGAUACGGGCAGACUUGAGUACUGCAGGGGAGACUGGAAUUCCUGGUGUAGCGGUGGAAUGCGCAGAUAUCAGGAGGAACACCGGUGGCGAAGGCGGGUCUCUGGGCAGUAACUGACGCUGAGGAGCGAAAGCGUGGGGAGCGAACAGGAUUAGAUACCCUGGUAGUCC
rnacentral:rRNA from 1 species